rnacentral:snRNA from 1 species
AGCUUUUCGCAGUGGCAGUAUCGUAGCCAAUGAGGUUUAUCCGAGGCGCGAUUAUUGCUAAUUGAAAAAAAAAAAAAGAAAGUCCC